ensembl:lncRNA
CAGGGAGAGUCAGGCAGGGAGAGUCAGUCAGGGAGAGUCGUCCAUGGUGGACAGGCAGGGAGAGUCAGGCAUGGGAGAGUCAGUCAGGGAGAGUCUCAUCCAUGGUGGACAGGCAGGGAGAGUCAGGCAGGGAGAGUCAGGCAGGGAGAGUCAGGCAGGGAGAGUCAGUCAGGGAGAGUCAUCAUGGGAGAGUCAGUCAGGGAGAGUCAGGCAGGGAGAGUCAGGCAGGGAGAGUCAGGCAGGGAGAGUCAGGCAGGGAGAGUCAGGGUCCAUGGUGGACAGGCAGGGAGAGUCAGGCAGGGAGAGUCAGUCAGGGAGAGUCUCGUCCAUGGUGGACAGGCAGGGAGAGUCAGGCAGGGAGAGUCAGUCAGGGAGAGUCUCAUCCAUGGUGGACAGACAGGGAGAGUCUCGCAGGGAGAGUCUCGUCCAUGGUGGACAGGCAGGGAGAGUCUCGUCCAUGGUGGACAGGCAGGGGAAGUCUCGUCCAUGGUGGUCAGGCAGGGAGAUUCAGGCAGGGAGAGUCUCGUCCAUGGUGGACAGGCAGGGAGAGUCUCGUCCAUGGUGGACAGGCAGGGAGAGUCUCGUACAUGGUGGACAGGCAGGGAGAGUCUCGUACAUGGUGGACAGGCAGGGAGAGUCUCGUCCAUGGUGGACAGGCAGGGAGAGUCUCGUCCAUGGUGGACAGGCAGGGAGAGUCUCGUCCAUGGUGGACAGGCAGGGAGAGUCUCGUCCAUGGUGGACAGGCAGGGAGAGUCUCGUACAUGGUGGACAGGCAGGGAGAGUCUCGUACAUGGUGGACAGGCAGGGAGAGUCUCGUACAUGGUGGACAGGCAGGGAGAGUCUCGUACAUGGUGGACAGGCAGGGAGAGUCUCGUACAUGGUGGACAGGCAGGGAGAGUCUCGUACAUGGUGGACAGGCAGGGAGAGUCUCGUACAUGGUGGACAGGCAGGGAGAGUCUCGUACAUGGUGGACAGCAAACCCUCAACCUUCUGGCCUGUUGGCCCUGCGUGGCAUCAGCUGUGUCACAAAAGAAUGCUGAAGUUGUAAAGACGAUAUGUCCAUGAUUAUAAACACAGGCUUGCUACAGUUUAUUUAUGGUUGUAAUCAUCAUUGUUGUACAUUUUAGAAGGGGGGGGGGGGGUUGGUCCAUCCAGCUAUGUGACAUUGUUUGGUAUGUUUCAUGUGUUUUCUCUUCACGUAUUUAUUAGGGUGUUUAGUAGAGCAGCAAGUCAGCUGGACUUCCUUAGUGGUUACCUGGGUUACCUGGGUUGUUUCCAGACACGUUGUCAAGGUGAUACAGGUGUAAAUAGCUGACUGGACAUUGAUCUGAUUAAUGAGUACGAGAGUGUAUUCACUAGGAAAUAAACUGAAGCAAACAGGGCAAAACGGGGUUGUAUCCACCUGAAUAUGUCAAAUAGAAAUGAGUUGGCACUAAUGAAUAUACCCCAUGCCACAUGAUUCAGGUUGUAUCUGUAACACUGGUUACACCACUGAAAUGAGUUUGCACUAAUG